CCUACGGGUGGCAGCAGUGAGGAAUAUUGGUCAAUGGACGAGAGUCUGAACCAGCCAAGUAGCGUGAAGGAUGACUGCCCUAUGGGUUGUAAACUUCUUUUAUAUGGGAAUAAAAUGUUCCACGUGUGGGAUUUUGUAUGUACCAUCUGAAUAAGGAUCGGCUAACUCCGUGCCAGCAGCCGCGGUAAUACGGAGGAUCCGAGCGUUAUCCGGAUUUAUUGGGUUUAAAGGGAGCGUAGGUGGAUUGUUAAGUCAGUUGUGAAAGUUUGCGGCUCAACCGUAAAAUUGCAGUUGAAACUGGCAGUCUUGAGUACAGUAGAGGUGGGCGGAAUGCGUGGUGUAGCGGUGAAAUGCUUAGAUAUCACGAAGAACUCCGAUUGCGAAGGCAGUUCACUGGACUGCAACUGACACUGAGGCUCGAAAGUGUGGGUAUCAAACAGGAUUAGAUACCCCUGUAGUC
rnacentral:rRNA from 1 species